UAUUAAUUUGACGGCCUGCGUAGCGCAGUGGUAUGCGCGGUGGAUUUACAAGACAGGUCCUGGGUUCGAUCCCUGGCUGGGCCGAUUGAGGUUUUCUUAAUUGGUCUGGCUGGUGGGAGGCUUCCCUACCCUACCGACAAAGACGUACCACCAAGCGAUUUAGCGUUCCGGAACGAUGUCGUGUAGAAACCAAAAGGAGUGUAGAUUUUCAUCCUCUUCCUAACAAGUUAGCCCGCUUCCAUCUUAGACUGCAUCAUCACUUACCAUCAGGUGAGUUUGUAGUCAAGAGCUAACUUAGGUUCAAUAGUUUCGGAAAUUAUAAAACAUAACUAUUUAUUAACUAUGCAAGCCACCUACUAUCUAGUAAGCCCACAUGGCUGCAGCUCUAACGCGACCAACACACGAUCAGUUUUAUCGGAUGUCCUGCCGUUAGCGCUGCAGGCUAUAGGCUUAUCGGAUGGAGUGUCUAUCAUUAACAUUUAAGUGUAAGCUCAGUUUCAAGAAUGUUGUGCAUGAUUUAGAUACCUGCAAGGACUCUGACUGCAAAGAUGAUUGCAGCACCGACAACUGUGGAGAUACCUGUGACACCAGCGGAAGUGGUACUGGUGGAUGCUGUUGAUGGACUCUGAAUACAUGGCUUGUUGACAUGACGAUUUGCAUAAUGUAUUAUUUAUUUUGAUUUUUUGAAUUGUGAUAAUAAAUCUUUGGUGCUCUUA